rnacentral:rRNA from 1 species
UACGUAGGUGGCAAGCGUUGUCCGGAUUUAUUGGGUUUAAAGGGUGCGUAGGCGGUCCCAUAAGUCAGUGGUGAAAUCCUCUAGCUCAACUAGAGAUGUGCCAUUGAUACUGCGGGACUUGAGUGAAGUCGAAGUAGGCGGAAUUGACGGUGUAGCGGUGAAAUGCUUAGAUAUCGUCAAGAACACCGAUAGUGAAGACAGCUUACUAGGCUUAUACUGACGCUGAGGCACGAAAGUGUGGGGAUCAAA